rnacentral:misc_RNA from 1 species
GAUGAAGAACGCAGCGAAAUGCGAUACGUAAUGUGAAUUGCAGAAUUCAGUGAAUCAUCGAAUCUUUGAACGCAUAUUGCGCUCUCUGGUAUUCCGGAGAGCAUGCUUGUUUGAGUAUCAGUAAACACCUCAACUUCCAUAUCUUUUUUGAAAUGGGAGUUGGACUUGAGUGAUCCCAACGCUUUUCCUCACCGAAAAGUGGCGGGUUACUUGAAAUGCAGGUGCAGCUGGACUUUUCUCUGAGCUAUAAGCAUAUCUAUUUAGUCUGCCUAAAAUACAGAUUAUUACCUUUGCUGCAGCUAACAUAAAGGAGAUUAGUUCUUGUGCUGACUGAUGCAGGAUUCACAAAGACAGGCUUCGGCCGACUUUGUAAACUCGAUCUCAAAUCAAGUAAGACUACCCGCUGAACUUAAGCAUAUCAAUAAGCGGAGGA